rnacentral:rRNA from 1 species
AUUGAACGCUGGCGGCAGGCCUAACACAUGCAAGUCGAACGAGUGGCGGACGGGUGAGUAAUGUCUGGGAAACUGCCCGCUGGAGGGGGAUAACUACUUGAAACGGUAGCUAAUACCGCAUACCAUCCGAUGUGCCCAGAUGGUAUUAGCUUGUAGGUUAGGUAACGGAUCACCUAGGCGACGAUACCUAGCUGGUCGGAGAGGAUGACCAGCGACCCUGGAACUAGGACAUGGUGCGGAGUGAUCCGGGAGGCAGCAGGGGGGAAUAUUGCACAAUGGUCGGAAGCCUGAUGCAACCAUGCCGCGUGUAUGAAGAGGGCCUUAGAGUUGUAAAGUACUUUAAGCGGGGAGGCGUUACCAACAGAAGAAGCACCGGCUAACUCCGUGCCAGCGGCCGCGGUGGUUC